CCUACGGGAUGCAGCAGUGAGGAAUAUUGGUCAAUGGGCGGGAGCCUGAACCAGCCAAGCCGCGUGAGGGAAGAAGGUACUGAGUAUUGUAAACCUCUUUUGCCAGGGGACAUAGGCGGCCAUGGGUGGCCGUAAGAGGGUAGCUGGCGAAAAAGCAGCGGCUACCUCCGUGCGCGCAGCCGGGGUAAUACGGAGGAUGCGAGCGUUAUCCGGAUUUAUUGGGGUGUAAGGGUGCGCAGGCGGCGUGUCAAGUCAUCGGUAAAAUGUCGGGGCUAAACCCCGGCCGGCCGUUGAAACUGGCGUGCUCGAGAUGGAGAGAAGUAUGCGGAAUUCGUGGUGUAGCGGUGAAAUGCAUAGAUAUCACGAAGAACCCCGAUUGCGAAGGCAGCAUACCGGCUCCACACUGACGCUGAGGCACGAAAGCGUGGGUAUCGAACAGGAUUAGAUACCCCUGUAGUC
rnacentral:rRNA from 1 species